rnacentral:rRNA from 1 species
UACAGAGGUCUCAAGCGUUGUUCGGAUUCAUUGGGCGUAAAGGGUGUGUAGGUGGCGCCGUAAGUCGGGUGUGAAAUUUCGGAGCUUAACUCCGAAACUGCAUUCGAUACUGCGGUGCUUGAGGACUGGAGAGGAGACUGGAAUUGAUGGUGUAGCAGUGAAAUGCGUAGAGAUCAUGAGGAAGACCAGUGGCGAAGGCGGGUCUCUGGACAGUUCCUGACACUGAGACACGAAGGCCAGGGGAGCAAACGGG